AGAUGGUUGAGCUCAGGGCACAAAUUUACGUAACCCCCGCAGUGAUGCUUUGGAGUUGGGGCAACUGACUUCCAACAACCACAACCACUUGCUUUAUGUAGAAAACAUACAAAAAAUAUCAAUGGGCGAAAAGUAGGGAGCGAAAGGGAGAAGGAAAUCCUCAAGGAAACAUUGAGGAAAACUGAGAAGACGAAGUUAACAGGUUCCCUGGACCUAAAGACUUGGAUCCCAGAUGACCCUUGUAGAGUCACGUCAAGCCAAUUUUCAAAGAAAGCACUCUGAUUCUUCCACUCAUACUUCUGGAAAAGGAAGUUGCAG